UUCCGGCAGGGGGCGAGGCCGCCAGGCUUGUUAGCAUCCGGCGGGCCCAGGCGGCCGCGGCGCCCCCUGCCGGCCGCGGAGGGCGCGCCUUGGAGGGAGAGGACUUUAGGUGACGCCGCCAGGAGGCGAAAUUUCACCUGCCAGCAGGUAAAAGCUCUGGAGGUCAAAAGAAAUGAGACUGCUGGGCUAAGAUCAAGGUGUCAGCAGGGCUGUAUUCCUUCCCAAGGCUCCAGGGGAGAAUCUGUUCACUUGCCUUUCCCAGCUUCUAGAGGUUGCCUACAUUCCUUGGCUUGCGGACCCUUCCUCCAUCUCCAGAAUCAGUAACGAAAGAUCCAAAGCCAUAUCCUGGCUGAGUUGGCUGAGUUGAGCAGGACACUGACAAGGAGGCUGCUGAGCCUGCAACUCGACUGUUCUGUUUGAGGAGCUCUGUGCUUUAUCAUAGAAAUGGAUCUGAGGUGGGGUGUUGCUUUGUCUUGUGAUCGCAGCUCACGGCAGCCUUGGACUCGUGGGCACGAGCAAUCCUCCCACUUCAGCCUCCCAAGUAGCUGGGACCACAGGUACAUGCCACUGCACCUGGCCUAGUAUUCUCUAUCAAAUACUUAUUCAACAGUUAAAAUCUAUAUAGACCUUUGAGAUAGGAUAAUAAAAUAUUAUAGCUUGUAAUAAUUUUUU
rnacentral:lncRNA from 1 species